rnacentral:misc_RNA from 1 species
AACAGCAUCUAACAUGGGCUUAUUCUGACUCUAGUAUAGAUCGAAAUUAGAGAGCCUUGGUUUAGCAAUAAGAAGUAAUGGAUUCUUUUUCUUGACGACAAUCCCGAAUUUGUCCGACAAUUCCACCUCUGUGCCGUUCAGCAAUUUCCAUUCAAAUGAGUGCAAGAGUGAAGCGAAAAUGAACAUAAACAUCCUUUCUGCCAACGGAACUCCAGGACAAAUCCUCCUCCCUGAUCCAAAUGGGAGAUACUGAAAAUUGUUGCCCGAGUAAUCAAAGCUGCCACUAUCCUUGUUUAAGAACCUU